rnacentral:misc_RNA from 1 species
UUUCCAGCCCGACUUGAACGGAGCUCUUUUUAUGGAGCAAAGCGGAAUAAAAAAGCGGGAGUGGAAGGCGGAAAAAGCU